rnacentral:sRNA from 2 species
CCACCCGUCAUCCGGGGAGUAGCCGGCCGUCCCCACGGGACGGGAAUCGCGUCAACAUACUUGGGGGAGACCCCAUGGCGCGAUCAGGGCCCGUGCGGCCUUGGCGAGACCGAUGACACCGCACCCCUGCCUGCCGGGCGGGGGGUCGUGGUGUCGUCCGUCAACUGCCAGCCCGGCCC